GUCCACGCCCUAAACGAUGAUGACUAGUUGUUGGAGGAGUUAAAUCCUUUAGUAACGCAGCUAACGCGUGAAGUCAUCCGCCUGGGGAGUACGGUCGCAAGAUUAAAACUCAAAGGAAUUGACGGGGCCCGCACAAGCGGUGGAUGAUGUGGUUUAAUUCGAUGCAACGCGAAAACCUUAACCUACCUUUGACAUGCUAGGAACGCUGCAGAAAUGCAGCGGUGCCCGAAAGGGAACCUAGACACAGGUGCUGCAUGGCUGUCGU
rnacentral:rRNA from 1 species